GUCUGUAAAAUUGUUCUUCACUUUGUCAGCACUCAAUAGGGGAAUUCAUAUGCAAUAUAUGGUGUCUUUAUUCUAAUUUUUCUUUUAAAACUACAAAAACAAAGAAUCAUUUGAAACACUUGGGGAUUUUGGUACCGAUGGGUCUCCGAAGCCUGCUUUGUUGGGUUUGUCUUGGACCUCUUGGCUGAUCAUGUGCCAUAAAACUUGCUUGAAGACUAGUCCUUGUGGGAUCCAUAUGUUUUUUUGCUUUAUAUUUCAUUACUUUUUGUAUCAUUUUUUUCCUCCUUUAUUUUUUUCUUUUCGGGUUAUAAAUUUUCUUGACUGAGUAGUUUAGUAAGAUCAGUUAUAUAUCUUCAGAAGCAAAGAUCAUAUUAAUUGACACCAAAAGACAUCAUUUGACAAACCCAACAAAUUUAAGCUUGAUUGUUGGUGUUAUCUGUAGAAUCUAGAAAGAUUAAUAGUGAUUGAGGUAGGCUGGCUGCAGUGGGCAAAGGCACAGGGCUGGUGGUCAAUCGGACUCUGCUGUUGAGGUUCAAGCCUUGGCCGCCGGAAAAGUCCCUCCUAAUUUUGGUUUUCUUGGAGUCCUCCUUUUAAAAUUCUGAAUUUAGUUUCUUCUUUUCAGUAUUGUAAGUUUUAUCAUAUUAAUAGACAAUCAAAUACAGUUGCUUAUGGCUUCUGGUUUUUGUAACCUCAGGGAGGGACCCUGCUGUGGUCUCGUUGCUCUGUUAUUUUUAAUAUAUAGAUUUUCAUGAGUAGUUUAGUUCAUUGUUAAACUGGUUAGCCCAUAAAUGUUAUGUCUUUUGCCUUAUUCUUGAGAGGUAAUGCA